UACGUAGGGUGCAAGCGUUGUCCGGAAUUAUUGGGCGUAAAGAGCUCGUAGGCGGUCUGUCACGUCGGCUGUGAAAUCCCGAGGCUCAACCUCGGGUCUGCAGUCGAUACGGGCAAACUAGAGUAUUGCAGGGGAGACUGGAAUUCCUGGUGUAGCGGUGAAAUGCGCAGAUAUCAGGAGGAACACCGGUGGCGAAAGGCGGGGUCUCUGGGCAAUAACUGACGCUGAGGAGCGAAAGCGUGGGGAGCGAACAGG
rnacentral:rRNA from 1 species